GCAAAAACAUGUCUUCCUUCAAGUAAACAAUAAACAGUCUGUUCUUGUUCCAUUUGUAAUCGAAAAGUAAUCAAUUUUCAAAUUUUAAGCUUAUCGUAUGGCGUUCCGUUCCGGUCAAAAUUAUUUCAAGUCAACAAGUAAUAGUCAAACAUUAUAUCAACAUGUUAUAACUCUCAAUACAAUGUUGAAAAUAUCAAGAUGAAGUUCAAACUCAAAAAAAUAAAACGAAAGUUUAAAGCAUAUACUUCAAAACUGCAAAAUACAUUUCAAACCUCAAAGGAUAUACAUGAAAAUUAAACGCAAGUCCAAACUUUUAUUUAUAAUACGAAACUCCCAAAUGAUAAGUCAAAGCCGCGGCUCAUAAAAAUAAAUCGAAAAGUCAAAAAUAUAAAUCGAAAGGAAACGGAAGUAAGCAACUUAAUACAGAGGAAGUCAGGAAACGGAAGUUAACCAAGAAGCCAGCGAAUGGAUUCUUUGUUUUAAAGGGGGGUGAACACGCGCUGAGAUAUUUACGUAUGUCGAUAUUAAAAAGUUAAAGAUUUCGAAACUGACGAAUUAUUUCUCUCUUUAUAAACAUUGCUGACCUCGUCUUUUACAGUAACAAUUACAUUAUUAUAUUAUAUUAUGAUUCAACCGAAUAUCUUGCUCGCCGUCUGGAUGUUUACGAGAUAAAUAUUCUUGUACUAAUCUAUAGCCUGAUGAUCCUGGGUGAUACUUGUGAGAUACCACGAACAAGUAGAUCAAGAUCAUUGUCCCUUAUCGUAGAAUGUGAUUGAGUGAUUCCCUGUUCGUAUAUAGCGGAGACAAAGUAAAAUUAACGUCGACGUCGUCGUAUUGCACUCUCAGAUACUCAAAAUUUCAUGUAAUUUCUGCUCAGGAAAGUCCAACUUGGAGAAUUAAAGUUUAGAUGGCCUGUUGUCAGACGUCCAGUCUUUGUCUUCCCACACCAAAAUUCGCAUCUUUCGCAUGUUUCCCUUUGACGACGAACAAUCACUUGAAGGGUGCGCAUAUCUGACAAAAGUUGUUGCUCUAGAGGAUUUUAAGCAUUGAGAAAAAUAUUCGGUUGAAUCAUAGCGAAUGUUAUUG